AGGAGGAGGAGGCGGCGAGGAGGAGGAGGAGGAAGAGGAGGAGCGGAGUCAGAGCGCGGCGGCAGCGGCAGCGACAGAGGCGGCCGCGGCGGGGACCAGCCCAGAGAGACCCCGAGCCCGCGGCAGAGGCGGCGGCGGCUGAGCGGGCGCGACCAGCCGAGCGAGCGAGCGAGCGAGCGGCGGCGGCCCGGCUCCUCCUCGUCCGGCGCCGAGCGGCCCGCGCCCGCACUCGGCCCGCGGAGACCCGCCUCCCGCCCGCCGGCCUCGUGAGGGACGCGCCGAAGCGGCGGCCGAGGAGCGGCGGCGGGCCGGGAGCGCGUCGGGCCGCGGGCGGAAAGUGCCUGCGGGGGCGGGGAGAGCGCGGCGAGCGCGCGGUCCGGCCGCCCCGGCGCCCGGCGCGGGAGCGGAGCGGAGCGGGACGCCGAGUCCCGAGCGGCCGGCGGCCGGGGCUCCCCGCCCCUCCCUCCUCUCCGGCGGCGGCGGCGGGCGGAGUGAGCUGCGGAGCCUGGAAUAUGGUCGGGGAAAUGGAAACGAAGGAGAAGCCGAAGCCCACCCCAGAUUACCUGAUGCAGCUGAUGAACGACAAGAAGCUCAUGAGCAGCCUGCCCAACUUCUGCGGGAUAUUCAACCACCUCGAGCGGCUGCUGGACGAAGAAAUUAGCAGAGUACGGAAAGACAUGUACAAUGACACAUUAAAUGGCAGUACAGAGAAAAGGAGUGCAGAAUUGCCUGAUGCUGUGGGACCUAUUGUUCAGUUACAAGAGAAACUUUAUGUGCCUGUAAAAGAAUACCCAGAUUUUAAUUUUGUUGGGAGAAUCCUUGGACCUAGAGGACUUACUGCUAAACAGCUUGAAGCAGAAACAGGAUGUAAGAUAAUGGUCCGAGGCAAAGGCUCAAUGAGGGAUAAAAAGAAGGAGGAGCAAAAUCGAGGGAAGCCUAAUUGGGAACAUCUCAAUGAAGAUUUACAUGUACUGAUCACUGUGGAAGAUGCUCAAAACAGAGCAGAGAUCAAACUGAAGAGAGCCGUUGAGGAAGUGAAGAAAUUACUGGUACCCGCCGCAGAGGGAGAAGACAGCCUGAAGAAGAUGCAGCUGAUGGAGCUUGCAAUUCUCAAUGGCACCUACAGAGAUGCCAACAUUAAAUCACCAGCCCUUGCCUUUUCUCUUGCAGCGACAGCCCAGGCUGCUCCCAGGAUUAUUACUGGGCCUGCGCCCGUUCUCCCACCAGCUGCCCUGCGCACUCCUACGCCAGCUGGCCCGACCAUAAUGCCUUUGAUCAGACAGAUACAGACCGCUGUCAUGCCAAACGGAACUCCUCACCCAACUGCUGCAAUAGUUCCUCCAGGGCCCGAAGCUGGUUUAAUCUACACACCCUACGAAUACCCCUACACGUUGGCACCAGCUACAUCAAUCCUUGAGUAUCCUAUUGAACCUAGCGGUGUAUUAGGUAUGGCUUUCCCAACGAAAGGCUAAGAAUUCAAGAACGGUCUUAACUGAACCCUCAUCAGAUCUGAAUUUAACAAAUGCUUAGUCUCAGCAGCCUCCAGGGGGUGGGAGGGAAGCUUAGCCUAGCAGUCAGUGACUUACUUGCACUUUUUGCACACUGAUAGAAAGUAAAAGUAUGUUAUUAAUUGGUUUAGUCUGUAAUCUUACAAAGUAACGGUAAUUUAUAAAGGAGUGUAUAGUAGUAUACUGACUGCUAAGUGUACUAUACUGUUUGCUUUACUAAUCACCUAAUUCAUUGCAGUUCAUACUUAUUGACUCAAAGUUUAGAACCACAAUCUGUAGGCUCUAAGAAUUGCUUUUAAACUUUCUUAAGUGAUAGACUCUGGAAGUGGUCUUAAGGUUAGCAAAUAAUUGUCAGUAUUAAACAUGGCAUUAUUUAAGUAGUCCUGCUGCAAGAAAGGCACUUCAGUGAAUAUGUGACUAGUAAAGCUUAACUGUGUUUGGAUCUAAUAGAGUUCAUGAAAUCUGUAACUUGAGAUUGUAAAUGAAUGGAUAAAAUAGGUUAAGGCCAAGAUGAUUGAAAUGGAUGCAAUAUUAAUAGGUGCAUAUAUACGCAACAUAUUAUGGUUAAUUUUAAGACUACUGUGCCUUAACGUGUUUCCUAAAAGAAAACUUUUGUAGUAAAUGAACAUUUGAAAUCCAUUUUGAUAAACCUGCUGUUAAUGUUUGUUUUCUUUUCCCUUGUGAAUGUUUUCUAACUUUGUCUUGGUAAUUGCAAUUUAACUAGGUGCGGUGGCUACUAAAGUUCGAAGGCACGAUAUGCGUGUCCAUCCUUACCAAAGGAUUGUGACCGCAGACCGAGCCGCCACCGGCAACUAACCUAUGACCUUCUGACCUCUGAACUCUUCACCCAAUGAUGACCUGACCAUGCCUGCCUGCUGAUCAGUUAACUGGUAAUCGCCUUUGCUUGCCUGUCGUCAGUGCAGCGAGCUGAGGCACUUGUCCGUUCGUCUUACCAUCUAACCAAACAAAAGACAAAGAAAUUGUUGUCCUCCAACUCAGCUUUUGUUUGUUUUUUUGUUUGUUUUUUUUUCUUUUUCUGUUUGGGUGAAAGUGGUUCUAGAACCUGCACUGAAUAGUAGUAAAGCAAUAAGGCCCAAUUCAUCCCACAGCACUGAUCAUCUUUUAAUGUCCCACCCUAAGCGAACGGUAAGAAGGCCUCACUUCAGAAGGGGAGACAGAUGGCCCUUAACUACUCAGUGACAGAGGCAGUUACUGUGAGAGACUUCUAGGAAUCUUUUCUUCUCAUAGCGAGUCAAAGCUCUCUGAAUGUACUGUGUGAUGACGCACCAUGCAUGAACCUUUGGUCAGGGAUGUCAUUGGUGAAGUGAUUUCAAAAAGUAUUCAAAAUUUGAUAUGCUGUUUAGUCACUACAGUGCCCUCACAGGGCAGACGUCGCAGCCUUUUUUAUAUCGCCUGCCAAAAUUUGAAGUAUUAGAAGUGUGCCAUGAGAGAAACCUUAAGGAGUUGUGAAAAGUAAUGCAAAGAGCAAAACUGCAGCACUAUUUUUAAAAAAGAUAAAUAUCGGAGUUAAAAUUACUGAACCUUUAUUUUACACCUCCUUUAAAAAUAUGAGAACAAGGUACAUGCAUUAUGUGUCACAUUACUGGGCAAACUGUUCAAAUAUUUUUUUUAAACCUCCCUGUAUAGAAAAAAAUCAUUAAGGAUGUAAAAGCCAUGCUUGCCUAUUUGCUGUAUACAUGUAAUGAAAUUGUAGAUAAAGUGUAGUGCAUUGAAACAAAUGAACAAAAAGUAGAUACUUUUACUAUACAAGGGUGCUGGUGCAGAAAAAAUAUAUAUAUUUUUGGAAAUGUAGCAUUUUAUACUUUCAAGUGUUAUAAAAAAAAGAAAAAGAACAAAGAAACCCUUUAUUUCAUUAAAUGAUUUUUUCUGGUGGUUGUCAAGAAACAAAAGACCAAAAGAGCCUUUUUGUCUUUCUUUUUUAUUUUUUAAGUAUUGGAAUAAGUCUAAAGAAAAGAAAGUGCCUUAUUUUCCUUCAUGGUCAUUUAGUCAAGUGUCUACUGUAAGAUCAGCUCCUCCCUCAGAAUACAAGUUAAUGCAUGUUACUCAGUCGCCCAGUAUGUGAAAGAAGAUACGAGGGGAGACAAAUGAGUUGAUGGUUUGAAUUAUAUGAUUUUUGCCACGUUACCUUGAUAUAAAUUUGCCAAACCUGAUACUGUGAAAAAAUUUGACAACUUUUCUAAUGCCUAACAAGUAAGUUUUAAAACAUUCUUUUAAAAUCAUAAUUGAGUGCUUUUGGUCAUCACCAUAUUUGAUGUUAGUCCAGAGGAUUCUGAAAUAAAGAUGAUGUGACCUGAACACCAUUUUACAGACAAAAUUAGAGCUUUAUUUUGUUUGGGGGAGGGUGGUGGUUAGCUCUGUCUUAUGAAUUGGAGGUAAUAGCAUACUUAGUGAUCUUUUUCACAACGAAUCUUUGUGAUUUUCAUUCUGGAAAACUAUUUUUAAAUGGCCCACAUUUAAUGAGUCUUGUUUCUACCAGAUCACAUGGGUUGGCCAUCUCUCCUGGUUUAAGUAACCUAAGCCACCGCACCCCCUUUUAACUUUAAAAGAAUGUGAAAAACUAGCAUCAUUGUGCAUAUAAUACUCAACUACAUGUGAGUUUAAACUUCCAAUUUUUCAUAAAGUUAAGGUAGUUUUGUAGUUGGAGCUAUCUGUGCACAAAGCCUAUAUCUGCACUCUUUAAGUAAUCGUUAGCUGCUCAGUCAGUACCAGACGUGGCAAAUAUCAAGUGGCAGUGGAUCCCCAGCUCAUCAACUCCUUCCCUCUUACAUACCUUCACAGCUUCACAGUCAAAGGUCAGCAGUAAGCUCAGUAAGCACCCUCGUGGUGACCCCCUCCAUCAUCUUGUCUCACUUGGAAACCGUUUUCAGUUUAUUUACUAUGCAAUAGACAUUCAUUGUUUUGUAUUCAGCUAGCUCUGGUUUAGUGUGCCACUGCUUUGUCUUUCUGUUACACAUACAGUUGUUUUGAUUUAUUUACAAUAUAUGCUGUGCCAUUUUGAUUUUUAUUUUGUUUGGUUGGUUGAAUAAAUUUGCGACACUCAAACACUUGAGGUGAUAGUUUAAAACGAUACCAGUAUUUGAUCCAGUUUCAUCUCAACUAUGUUAUACCUGGACACUUUAGAUGUUUAUCAAAGGUCUUUUAUGGGGAAGAAAGUAAAUGUAUGAAAUAAAUGUGUGACAUUUAUGAGUAAUGUUGGCUCUGUACAAACGUUUGAAAACUUAGUUGACAAAAUUUUGGAUCAACUGAAAAAAAGCAUGACUUCUGAAAUCUCUGAAUGCCUUGGUUCUCAGUAUUAUCAUUCUUUAUUGAGUUUAUUUCUUAUUAAAAUAUGUAGUUUUUAAGACUUUUUUUUCUGACAGUAUUAUGUAAUUUUUUAGUGCGGGUAGAUGGGAGUGUCGCGUGUUUGUUACCGUACAGCUGACAUGUAUUUUUGUCUAUUCUUUAUCUCAGUAGUUCCAUGCUAUGUAUGUACCAUAACCAACCUAUUGCCUAUGAGAAACAUGUAAGAUAAUGUAUUUACAGCCAUUGUUACAAGUUUAUAAUGUAUUUUUCUAUCUUGUUUUAUAUGUAUGUUAUAUAACAUUCAAAAAGAAUUUUUUUCUUGAUUGAGAAAAGGAUACAAAAUGCAAAAUCCACAAUUUUGAUAACUGAAAAUUGCCAAUUGUUUUGCAGUACUUUAUUAUAUUGGGUGUCUUGUCUUUCUUGGGCUUUUAGUUAGCUAAUGAAUGAAUACAUUAGACACUUUUGGGUUUUAGUUGGGAUUUUACAUAGCUUGCAUUUUAAUUCUUUGGUUCUUUGCUGUUUCUAUUAACCCAUAGCAUUAUUUUAAUAAAUGUUAUAAUACCAACCUACUAACUCUGGACUAUGUCUGUUUAUUAACCUUUACAUGUUUAAUUAAAAUAAACAAAUAAAGACAAAAGAA